rnacentral:rRNA from 1 species
AGAAUCAACGCUGGCGGCGUGCCUAACACAUGCAAGUCGAACGAGAAAGUGGAGCAAUCCAUGAGUAAAGUGGCGACCGGGUGAGUAACACGUGACUAACCUACCUUCGAGUGGGGGAUAACCUCGGGAAACCGGGGCUAAUACCGCAUAACAUCCUUAGAGUGGAAACUCCGGGGAUCAAAGGAGCAAUUCGCUUGAAGAGGGGGUCGCGGCUGAUUAGCUAGUUGGCGGGGUAAUGGCCCACAAGCUUUGAUCGGUAGCCGGCCUGAGAGGGCGCACGGCCACACUGGAACUGAAACACGGUCCAGACUCCUACGGGAGGCAGCAGUGGGGAAUUUUGCGCAAUGGGGGAAACCCUGACGCAGCAACGCCGCGUGGAGGAUGAAGUCCCUUGGGACGUAAACUCCUUUCGACCGGGAAGAUUAUGACGGUACCGGAAGAAGAAGCCCGGCUAACUUCGCGCCAGCAGCCGC